rnacentral:rRNA from 1 species
CCUACGGGAGGCAGCAGUGGGGAAUUUUGGACAAUGGGGGAAACCCUGAUCCAGCAAUGCCGCGUGUGUGAAGAAGGCCUUCGGGUUGUAAAGCACUUUUAUUCGGAGAGAAAUCCCUUGGGCUAAUACCCUGAGGGUCUGACGGUACCGGAUGAAUAAGCGCCGGCUAACUACGUGCCAGCAGCCGCGGUAAUACGUAGGGCGCGAGCGUUAAUCGGAAUUACUGGGCGUAAAGCGUGCGCAGGCGGUUUUGUAAGACAGAUGUGAAAGCCCCGGGCUCAACCUGGGAAUUGCAUUUGUGACUGCAAGGCUAGAGUGUGUCAGAGGGAGGUGGAAUUCCGCGUGUAGCAGUGAAAUGCGUAGAGAUGCGGAGGAACACCGAUGGCGAAGGCAGCCUCCUGGGAUAACACUGACGCUCAUGCACGAAAGCGUGGGGAGCAAACAGGAUUAGAUACCCUGGUAGUCCACGCCCUAAACGAUGUACAACUAGUUGUCGGGUAAUUUAAAUUUCUUAGGUAACGCAGCUACGUCGUGUAGUAGACCGCCGUGGGAGGACGGCCGCGUAAGUUAAACGUUACGAAGUAAGUUAGAGGCGNGAGAGNGCGACGGACGACGACGAGGGAGGAGG